GGGAGGUUGCCGAGUGGCUGCGAACAUCGAAAGGCAGCGUCAAGUUCUGCUUCCCGCGCUGACCGGCCCCGCUCGCCCACGCGUGCCCGGGGAGGCUGGGGGCCAGCCGGGGUCGGGCGCGGGGCCGGGGGCGCGGGGAAGUGAGCGGAAGUCGGAGCUGAGACCGCGGAAGCAGGGUGGCUGGCGGAGGUCGCGGCAGUCUCCGAGGCCGGUUCAGAUUUGCUCUUGCCGCGUCAGCUUUCCGGGUUUAAGACUAGAGUGUGGCCGCGCUGUGAUUUUCUGUAGAAAGCAACGGUCGAGAGUGCCUCUCGGGUGUAGUGCUCCGAUCGGAAAGGCGGGAGCUUGGUGAUCAAGGGGUUCAGUGCGGCUCAGCCGAUUCCUCAACCUGCCCCUCAAGGGCUCCCCGUUCUGAAAAUGAGUUCUUCAUGUCUGCGGUCCCCGUGUUGGAAACCUGCAGAGGAUGUUGCGGGGGGAAGGGAGGGCUCAGUCUUCCAGGCCGAAGGUCCAGUAAGUUUACAACAUUCAAAUCCUAUUCCGUGGACUGGCCAAAAUUUAAAAAUAUGGACACGGGACUUGAAAGAUGUUUGAUGGAGCCAGAAGAGGAUAUGACCAGCAAGAAUAUUUGUUUAAACUGAAAUCGAGACCUUCCUUCUCUUCAAUGGAGACUCCCAGAUACACAAGCUAUUGGGGGCUAUCCUACCAGAGAGCACAGUAAAGGCAGGCAAGAAAGAAACUGAGCAUCCUGAUCCGCCAAGUCCUGAGAGGAUCCGGCCCUCAGCAGAGGAGGUGGCCUCUGUAUACCAGCUGUGUGCCGUCACAUCCAGGGGGGCCGGGAGGACCACCAAGGCCAGCCUCCUCCAGGCCUCAGCACUACCUCUCUUUUCAACCCCCUUCCCUUCUAAAACUAAACUGCACUCCCUAGGCCGCCAGACUCUAUUUCCUGGCUCCCAGAAAUCUUUGGUGUGAGAAAAGGCAGAGGAAUCUCCUGGGGUGUAUUUGGAAGGAAGGGAGUAAGCUCAGG